rnacentral:piRNA from 1 species
GACAAAGUAGAGGUAGUAGAACAAUAUUU